UCCCCGGUGGUCCAGUGGUUAGGACUCAGCACUUUCAUUACUGUGGCACCAGGUUCAGUCCCUGGUUGGGGAG